UGAUCAACAAAUCUUUAAAAGUAGGACAGAUAAACAAAACUAGGACAUAGUUCCUUGAAAGAAUUAAUAAGAUUGGUAAACCCUUGGGCAGACUUGUCAAAAAGAAAAGAGAAAGGACCUUA